rnacentral:rRNA from 1 species
GCACGGGAGACAGAGCACCGGGUGCUAACGUCCGGACUCAAGAGGGAAACAACCCAGACCGCCGUUUAAGGUCCCAAAUAUUGACUAAGUGGAAAACGAAGUGUGAAGGCUAAGACAGUCAGGAAGUUGGCUUAGAAGCAGCCAUCCUUCAAAGAAAGCGUAAUAGCUCACUGAUCGAGUCCUCAUGCGCGGAAGAUGUAACGGGGCUAAGUCAAUAACCGAAAGCGCGGAUUUGCAUGAAAAUGCAAGUGGUAGGGGAGCGUUCUGUAAGCCUGCGAAGGUGGUUCGAGAGGACUGCUGGAGGUAUCAGAAGUGCGAAUGCUGACAUGAGUAACGUUAAAGCGGGUGAAAAGCCCGCUCGCCGUAAGCCCAAGGUUUCCUGCUCUACGUUCAUCGGAGCAGGGUGAGUCGGCCCCUAAGGCCAGGCUGAGAAGCGUAGUCGAUGGGAAGCAGAUUAAUAUUUCUGCACCAUGUGCAAGUGCGAUGGGGGGACGGAGUGCGAAAGAUCAUCCGGGUGUUGGAUGUCCCGGUUUGUGAGUGUAGAAGGCCGACAGGCAAAUCCGUCGGCGGAUCUUCGAGACAAAGCAUCGAGGUUCUACGGAACCGAAGUGAUCGGAAGUGCUUCCAGGAAAAGCCUCUAAGCUUCAGCUUGUACAUGACCGUACCGUAAACCGACACUGGUGGGCGAGUUGAAUAUACUCAGGCGCUUGAGAGAACUCGGGAGAAGGAACUCGGCAAAUUGACACCGUAACUUCGGGAUAAGGUGUGCCUUUGUAGCGUGAAGAGAGAAACACUCGGAGCGUGAAGAGGCCUCAGAGAAUCGGUGGCUGCAACUGUUUAUUAAAAACACAGCACUCUGCAAAGACGAAAGUCGACGUAUAGGGUGUGAUGCCUGCCCGGUGCUGGAAGAUUAAGUGAUGGGGUGAGAGCUCCUGAUCGAAGUCCCAGUAAACGGCGGCCGUAACUAUAACGGUCCUAAGGUAGCGAAAUUCCUUGUCGGGUAAGUUCCGACCUGCACGAAUGGCAUAAUGAUGGCCACACUGUCUCCUCCCGAGACUCAGUGAAGUUGAAAUGUUUGUGAUGAUGCAAUCUCCCCGCGGCUAGACGGAAAGACCCCAUGAACCUUUACUGUAGCUUUGCAUUGGACUUUGAACCGAUUUGUGUAGGAUAGGCGGGAGGCAGAGAAAGCGCAACGCCAGUUGUGCCGGAGCCGACGUUGAAAUACCGCCCUGAUUUGUUUGAGGUUCUAACCGCGACCCGUAAGCCGGGUCCGGGACCGUGCAUGGCAGGCAGUUUGACUGGGGCGGUCUCCUCCUAAAGGGUAACGGAGGAGUACAAAGGUACGCUAGGUACGGUCGGAAAUCGUGCUGAUAGUGCAAAGGCAAAAGCGUGCUUGACUGCGAGACCGACAAGUCGAGCAGAUGCGAAAGCAGGUCUUAGUGAUCCGGUGGCUCUGUAUGGAAGGGCCAUCGCUCAACGGAUAAAAGGUACUCUGGGG